CAAAAGUCCAAGUAUCUUCUAUAAUAAAUAUAUAAAAUUGUAAAUAAAUUUUAUUCAUUCUGAAGCGUUUAUACAAUCGAUAAAUCAAUUUGUGAGAUAAAGAGAGAUAAAGAGAGAAUCGCGUAUAAAUUUAAAAAUAUGCUAAUUAUCCAGGAGGUGAGAAGUGUAUAUAUUUCGCAUACAAAAAAUACGCUUUCAGAAUUUUCGAGAUGAGCGUUCAGAGGGAAGAAUCGAAAACGUACAUAUAUAUGUAUGUGUGGCAUUCAAUAAUCUGCAGAUCAAAGGGAAGCCCCGGAAUAGAGCUCGCGAUACGACGAACGAAACGCGUCACUGACAUUAUUACCCGUGUAUUUCAUGGUGUAUCGGCACCAAUGGUGUACCUGUUGGGGCGGCAGGUACCAAACACAAUGUAACGAGGGGAAGAAAUCGGCUGGGGUGGAUAGGGGGUGGGGAAGAUAAAGGGUGCCCCAAAACGCGCGCGCUACCCACGCGUGACUGGACACACGACUCGCUUUAAGGGGGUUCAAAUGUAUCAAUGAAGGCAGUUGGAUCACGAAAGCAAUUAGAGAGCAUUAUCCUGAGUAACUGCACAAACCCCUCAUUCUUUUCGCUAAAGAUAGACCAGGGAAGCUAAUAAGCGAUGUACACUCUGCUUAAUAUGUUUUCCUGCUCCUCUGUAUAGGGACAGGUGAAGCUGGAUAGAUUUUUACUCCCUCUCUGUGAAAACUUUUUGCAAUAAAAUAUAUAAUGAAAGAUUA